rnacentral:lncRNA from 1 species
GCUUCAAAUGCCAUGGGCCCAAAUUUUGAGGGCAGUGUUCCAUUUACUUACUUAAGCAAGUUAGCUAACCUUUAAAAGUCUUGGGAUUCUCAUGGGCAAAAUGGGGGAGCUGUAUCCAUCUAUGAGGGAUCAUAUGAGGAUGUAUUGUACGAGAGACGUUAGCACCCAACAGGCCCAGAGUGGGUGAGUCAUUGACUCAGUUCUCACAGUGGGAAACUCGAAAUCUGACCACAGGUCUUCUGGCUGCUUUGUCUCCCACACUGUGCUCCUCUUUCUCUCCCCCUCCCUCUCCCCCAUUUUCCUUUUUUUAUGGGGAAGGGGUGUUAUGAAUGUAUGAAGCUACUCUCUCCACCCCGACAAGGUCUGGAGUCUCAUCGCUGGAUCUGGAGGUCGGAGGGAGAGCAGAGUCCUCAUCUUCUGAAAGGACUGGGACAUUUAAUGAGGAAGCAGGAGGAAGCCACCUCAAGAUCUGUCUGACUCACCCGACAGUAAAGGAUGAAGGAGGGAGGAGCAGAGGGAAUCCCGUUGGGAAUCUAAGCACAAUACUAACAGGUGACAUUUAUUGAGUAACUACUAUGUGCCAGGCAGUGUUCAAACUGCUUUAGGUGAAUCAUCUUAUUUAAUUCUAACAACCCCAUGAGGCAAGUCCUCUCAUCAUCCCUAUGGUAUCAAUGUGAAAACUGAGACACAUAAUUUACCCAAGGUCCCAUGGUUCAUAAGGGCAGAUUCUAAUUUGGGCAGCCUGGCUCCCUGGCCUCACUCUUUAACCCUAUACCAUAUUUCUGUGCAAACUUGGCACAUAAAAUGGCCAUUGAAGAAUAAAUUAUUGUUAUAGAAAAAUCAGAAUGCAUAUAAAUGUCCAGCAAACAGGGCAAUGGGUAAAUAAGUUUAAAGAAUGUUUUGGUAUCAUGGAG